UUCUGGAGUCAAUAUAUCGACAGGAUAAAUCAUACAUGAAGCCGUGUCUACUGAGAAUAGUUGAAGAAAUGUGUGAUAGUCUAUGUCAUGUUAUGAUAAAGCCUACAGUGUGAAACAUUGGCGGAAUGAAUAGUCUUGCAAUGAAAUGUCAAAUGACUUGUGUAUUGACAUAUGAUACAGUCAUAAAUGACAAAACUAUAGAUAUGCAUUGAAUUUAAAUGAGAGAGCAAUCAGUAGUAGUGAUGAAGAGAUACCCAAAACAAUGGCUUUCUAAUUUAUUUUUGUUGCUUCGUUAUCCAUUAAAGAAAAAAAAUACCUACAGGUUAGAUGAAACAAAAAAAGGGUGCGGUGCAUUUAGGGAUGUUUCCUAUAGAUUUGAGGAAAUCAGAUCAAAUGACGCCAACAAAACUAGCCGCACUUAACCAUAUUGGGAAUGUUUUCUAAUUUAUUUUUGUUGCUUCGUGAUCCAUUAAAGAAAAAAAAUACCUACAGGUUAGAUGAAACAAAAAAAGGGUGCAUUUAGGGAUGUUUC
rnacentral:lncRNA from 1 species